rnacentral:rRNA from 1 species
GAUGUCGGAUUAGCUAGUUGGCGGGGUAAAGGCCCACCAAGGCGACGAUCCGUAGCUGGUCUGAGAGGAUGAUCAGCCACACUGGAACUGAGACACGGUCCAGACUCCUACGGGAGGCAGCAGUGGGGAAUAUUGGACAAUGGGCGCAAGCCUGAUCCAGCCAUACCGCGUGGGUGAAGAAGGCCUUCGGGUUGUAAAGCCCUUUUGUUGGGAAAGAAAUCCAGCCGGCUAAUACCCGGUUGGGAUGACGGUACCCAAAGAAUAAGCACCGGCUAACUUCGUGCCAGCAGCCGCGGUAAUACGAAGGGUGCAAGCGUUACUCGGAAUUACUGGGCGUAAAGCGUGCGUAGGUGGUCGUUUAAGUCCGUUGUGAAAGCCCUGGGCUCAACCUGGGAACUGCAGUGGAUACUGGGCGACUAGAGUGUGGUAGAGGGUAGCGGAAUUCCUGGUGUAGCAGUGAAAUGCGUAGAGAUCAGGAGGAACAUCCAUGGCGAAGGCAGCUACCUGG